AUUUAAUUUGUAAUGACAUAUUGUGCAUCUAUAAUAUAUAUUGUAAAAGUAAAAUACAAUUAUAAUAUUACACUUUUUUAUUUAAUAUAUUUAUAUCGUUAAAAAAAAACACAAUUUAGCAACAUGGCAGAACGAAUACCAUUGACAGGUGAAAAUGGACGACAGACUUUGAGUAACUUUUUUGACAUUAUUAAUAGUAUAACAUCAUUAUAUAUAUUUUUUUUAAAUAAUUUAAACAUAUUUGGUAAAUAUAUUAUAAAAAAAUAUAUACAUUUAAUUUAUCAGGUGUUAUGCAAAAUGGGAGUACUAACGAAUCCCUCAUAACUUUAAUUCAUCCAACCGUUAUAUCAACACACCUUAAUAAUACUGUUACUCAGGCAGAUAGUUCAUCAAUGUUAAAAUUCCUCAUAUAUUUUUUAGUUUUAACUAUCUUGGUAUAUAUUUUUCUAGUUUGUUUACAUUUGAUAGAAGAACGUUGUCGUCGAAUGGGAAACCCUAGAAAUGGUGUGCGUGCUAUAUUUCGUAGAGAUGAUGGAGGAAAUCCAGGAAAUCCGCAACAUGCUCCACUACUUGAAGCUGAUGAAUUUUUUGAUCGUCGUAGAGGAUAAUAAAAUUGACAUUUCUAAGCAUACUAUUUAUGUAUGUACAAUUUUGUAAAAAAAAAAAAAAUUAUAUGAAUGUUUGACAUAAUUAUUGUUUAUUAUGUUUGCGCAGUGUUACUAUUAUAGUAAUGUUUGAUCAUUUUGUGUUAACUAUAGUUGUACAUUAUGGGUGAUUACUGUAUACUAAUUUAUUUUUUGCAUUAAUGGCAGGUGAACUCCAUUAUUUUUUUUUUUUUUUUUUUUUUUCAUACUACAUUAAUUGAGUUGUGCUAUUUUACAUAUGUUAAAAUGUACAAUUGAAUGUGAUAAUUUUUAUUUUUUUGAUAAAAUUAAUUUAACAAUUAGAAUGUGUAACAUAGUGUGUAGCAAAAUAUGUUGCAAAUACAAAUAAUGUUUUAUAAUUUAUUAAAACAUUUGAACACUUCUGUUAUAUACAAGUAAAUACAAAUAAAAUAUGUAUAAGCUUUUUAUUUUAUAAAUUA
rnacentral:lncRNA from 1 species